GCGAGGGUAGCGAAGACCGGUCAAACGCGCAGGACUUAAGAUCCUGUCCCUUAGUGGGUUCGGGGGUUCGAAUCCCCUCCCUCGCA
rnacentral:tRNA from 1 species